rnacentral:tRNA from 1 species
GGAAGGUUGGCCGAGCGGUCGAUGGCGGCAGUCUUGAAAACUGUUGAGCUGAAAGGCUCCGGGGGUUCGAAUCCCUCACCUUCCG